GACGAACGCUGGCGGCGUGCCUAAUACAUGCAAGUCGAGCGAGCGGAACUAACAGAUUUACUUCGGUAAUGACGUUAGGAAAGCGAGCGGCGGAUGGGUGAGUAACACGUGGGGAACCUGCCCCAUAGUCUGGGAUACCACUUGGAAACAGGUGCUAAUACCGGAUAAGAAAGCAGAUCGCAUGAUCAGCUUUCAAAAGGCGGCGUAAGCUGUCGCUAUGGGAUGGCCCCGCGGUGCAUUAGCUAGUUGGUAAGGUAAAGGCUUACCAAGGCGAUGAUGCAUAGCCGAGUUGAGAGACUGAUCGGCCACAUUGGGACUGAGACACGGCCCAAACUCCUACGGGAGGCAGCAGUAGGGAAUCUUCCACAAAGGACGCAAGUCUGAUGGAGCAACGCCGCGUGAGUGAAGAAGGUUUUCGGAUCGUAAAGCUCUGUUGUUGGUGAAGAAGGAUAGAGGUAGUAACUGGCCUUUAUUUGACGGUAAUCAACCAGAAAGUCACGGCUAACUACGUG
rnacentral:rRNA from 1 species